CGGGAGGCAGCAGUAGGGAAUCUUCCGCAAUGGACGAAAGUCUGACGGAGCAACGCCGCGUGAGUGAAGAAGGCCUUCGGGUCGUAAAACUCUGUUGCCGGGGAAGAACAAGUGCCGUUCGAACAGGGCGGCGCCUGACGU
rnacentral:rRNA from 1 species